AGGCUGGAAUGAAUGGUUGGACGAGAAAUUAGCUGUCUCUUUUCUUAAUUUGAAUUUAAUUUUUUGGUGAAAAAGCUAAAAUUUGCUUGGAGGACGAUAAGACCCUAUAGAUCUUUAUAAGAAAAGAGGUUUGUUAUCUGGAUGUUAUUUGAUGAAACUCUUUUUUAUUUUGUUGGGGCGACAUUGAGUGAAGAUUAAACUCUCAAAUUGAUUAAACAAUUAUAAUUGAUUAUUUGAUCCUUUAGUGAAUUAAGAUUAAGUUACCUUAGGGAUAACAGCGUAAUUCUUCUUGAGAGUCCAAAUCGACAGAAGAGCUUGCGACCUCGAUGUUGGUUCAGGAUUCCUACUAGGUGCAGCAGUCUAGAAAGGUAGUCUGUUCGACUAUUAAAAUCCUACAUGAUCUGAGUUC
rnacentral:rRNA from 1 species